GACGAACGUUGGCGGCGUGCUUAAUACAUGCAAGUCCACUGAAGCAGUGGUAGCAAUAUCGCUGUGGAGGUGGCGCACGGGUGAGUAACACGUAGGUAAUCUGCCUUCAGAUCUGGCAUAACUCCGGGAAACCGGGGCUAAUAGCAGAUGAUGCAGCGGCUCGACAUCGAGACAGUUGUUAAAGCUAUGGCGCCUGAAGAUGAGCCUGCGUCUGAUUAGCUAGUUGGCGGGGUAACGGCCCACCAAGGCAACGAUCAGUAGCUGGUCUGAGAGGAUGAUCAGCAACACUGGAACUGAGACACGGUCCAGACUCCUACGGGAGGCAGCAGUAAGGAAUAUUGCUCAAUGGGAGAAAUCCUGAAGCAGCAACGCCGCGUGAGGGACGAAGGGCUUUGGCUUGUAAACCUCUGUAGUGAGAGAAAAAAAUCCCAAUCUUUGGGACAUGAUGGUAUCUCAAAAGUAAGCCCCGGCUAACUACGUG
rnacentral:rRNA from 1 species